rnacentral:lncRNA from 1 species
GGCGCUCUGGGGGCGUGCCGGCUGCGCAGGGACACGCGCUCUGGGCCGCAGCAACUGGCUCCAAGUUCCCUCCCUCGCUCUCCUGCGGAGCCUGCCUGAGCCCGCCCCUUCGGUGCGGAGGAGCAAACGCGGCCCCGGUCAGCUCAGCCCUCCGUUGCCGCCCGAUCCGGGCCGGUUCGGCUAACCCGGUCCAUUCCGAGCCGGCGGCGAGGACCCGGCGGCCACUUCAUCCCGGCCUGCAGUGCAUCGCGGGGCCCAAGCUCCUCCUCGCGGUCUCCGGAGCCUGGUGCCUGGCCUGGCCGCCUUGCAGGGGCCGGAGUGCGGCCAAGACACCUCCUGCUGCAGAGAGUGCUUUAAGUAAGGAAGGUUUUCCUUGGCUUCUGUCUGCAUUCCAUAAAAUACUCAUUGCCUUUUAGGUGGACACUCUUAACGGUGAUUCACUCCAUGUGAAAGUGACACAUGUGCGCAUGUUCUCUAAAGGACCUUGGCGAAGGACAGAGCAGUAGAACCCAGAAGGCUCUGAGCUCCAUCCUGCUUUUUUCCUCCUGCCUGCAUUGGACUGGAUUUCAUCUUUAAUAAUGGCUCCAUUUGUUGCUUUGGCCCAGUUUGCUCACAUAACUGUUUGCUUUGAAGUUUGAAAACACGUAUUUUCUUUGAACCUCAAGUUAAAAAAAAAAAAAAAUGAGGGCAUCCAGGUGACCUGUUAGGCAAAAACUGCAGGCAGUCCAGUUUCACAGAACUACUACAAAUAGUUCUAAUUCUAC